rnacentral:rRNA from 1 species
CCUACGGGAUGCAGCAGUGAGGAAUAUUGGUCAAUGGGCGGGAGCCUGACCCAGCCAAGCCGCGUGAGGGAAGAAGGUACAGCGUAUCGUAAACCUCUUUUGUCAGGGAACAAAGGCGGGGACUAGUCCCCGGAUGAGGGUACCUGAAGAAAAAGCAUCGGCUAACUCCGUGCCAGCAGCCGCGGUAAUACGGAGGAUGCGAGCGUUAUCCGGCUUUAUUGGGUUUAAAGAGGGCGCAGGCGGCCUGUUAAGUACGCGGGAAAAGCCCGGGGCUCAACCCCGGCGAGCCGUUGAAACUGGCGGGCUGGAGUUGGAGAGAAGUACGCGGAAUGCGCGGUGUAGCGGUGAAAUGCUUAGAUAUCGCGCAGAACCCCGAUUGCGAAGGCAGCGUACCGGCUCCACACUGACGCUGAGGCACGAAAGCGUGGGUAUCGAACAGGAUUAGAUACCCGAGUAGUC